rnacentral:tRNA from 1 species
ACGGGAACUGUACCGGAACGCACUCGUAAUGCGCAGGCCGGGGGUUCAAUUCCCUUCACCA